UACGGGGGGUGCGAGCGUUGUCCGGAAUCACUGGGCGUAAAGCGCACGUAGGCGGAUCUUUAAGUCAGGGGUGAAAUCCCGAGGCUCAACCUCGGAACUGCCUUUGAUACUGGGGAUCUCGAGUCCGGGAGAGGUGAGUGGAACUGCGAGUGUAGAGGUGAAAUUCGUAGAUAUUCGCAAGAACACCAGUGGCGAAGGCGGCUCACUGGCCCGGAACUGACGCUGAGGUGCGAAAGCGUGGGGAGCAAACAGG
rnacentral:rRNA from 1 species